rnacentral:misc_RNA from 1 species
UUAAUCAUAUUUUACUUUUGAUCCAAUAGCUGAUAACUCUCAUUCCAGUUCAUUCAUCCAGGCAGAAUUGCAAUUGAUAAAUCAUCAUUCAAUUUAUACAGUCAAAUCCAUGAAAAAAAAAAAAAUUCGCUAAACUCUUAGAAGACAAAAAUCUAAGAAAAACUGAUUGAUGCAAGUAAGAUCUCUAAUCCAAAACUUUUUUAUCAACUAAUAUUAUGAGGACAUAAGGAUCUCAGCGCUUCCCUCCACCACCCCCAAGCUUGGGCCCCUUUGGUGCAGCACCUUUGGGCAAGCUACCUUUGCUCUGGGUCUUUUGUGUCUUUGCCAUUACCUCAGCCUUCUUGGCCUUCUUUUCAUCCUUCGUUUUCUUAAUUCUCUCCUUAAUUUCACGGAGUGCAGCCUCUCUUGCAGCAUCACGUACUUCAGGCUUCUCAGUUCGCCUCUUCUGUAUGACUUCCAAAGUAGCACCAACUAUAGACCUAGAGUAAGGCUUUUUUGUAGCGCGACGUCUCUUCUUAACGGUUUCAGCAGCAAUAUCCUUCUUAUGUUGCUUCCUGUACAUGGCUGUCCAAGUUAGCUUUGAGGGCUUCAAUCGGUUGUGGAAGUACCUCUUGCAUUUUGAAUUGGCAAAGAGGAAUACCUGGCAAUCUGAGCGAACAAAUCUGAUGCCCUUACCAGGGUAUAUCUUUGCCCCGCUAAAGCGACAAAGGUCAGUCCUGAAAUUACGAAUAUUAGCGAUUACUCCAAGAUUCACAUCUUAAAUGCAUUCAUUUCAUAGGAGACAUGCUAUUCAACUUUCUCUCAAAAGAUUAAAAGUUAUAAUCCCAG